UAAGCCAUGCGAGUCGAACGAGUUUAGGCUCGUGGCGUACGGCUCAGUAACACGUGGAUAACCUACCCUUAGGACUGGGAUAACCUUGGGAAACUGAGGAUAAUACUGGAUAGGCAAUUAUUCCUGGAAUGGAUUUUUGUUUAAAUGUUUUUUCGCCUAAGGAUGGGUCUGCGGCCGAUUAGGUAGUUGGUUAGGUAACGGCUUACCAAGCCAUUGAUCGGUACGGGUUGUGAGAGCAAGAGCCCGGAGAUGGAACCUGAGACAAGGUUCCAGGCCCUACGGGGUGCAGCAGGCGCGAAACCUCCGCAAUGUGAGAAAUCGCGACGGGGGGAUCCCAAGUGCCAUUCUUAACGGGAUGGCUUUUCAUUAGUGUAAAGAGCUUUUGGAAUAAGGGCUGGGCAAGACCGGUGCCAGCCGCCGCGGUAACACCGGCAGCUCUAGUGGUAGCAGUUUUUUAUUGGGCCUAAAGCGUCCGUAGCCGGUUUAAUAAGUCUCUGGUGAAAUCCUGUAGCUUAACUGUGGGAAUUGCUGGAGAUACUAUUAGACUUGAGACCGGGAGAGGUUAGAGGUACUCCCAGGGUAGAGGUGAAAUUCUGUAAUCCUGGGAGGACCGCCUGUUGCGAAGGCGUCUAACUGGAACGGUUCUGACGGUGAGGGACGAAAGUUAGGGGCGCGAACCGGAUUAGAUACCCGGGUAGUCCUAACUGUAAACGAUGCGGACUUGGUGUUGGGGUGGCUUUGAGCUGCUCCAGUGCCGAAGGGAAACUGUUAAGUCCGCCGCCUGGGAAGUACGGUCGCAAGACUGAAACUUAAAGGAAUUGGCGGGGGAGCACCACAACGCGUGGAGCCUGCGGUUUAAUUGGAUUCAACGCCGGACAUCUCACCAGAGGCGACAGCUGUAUGAUAGCCAGGCUGAUGACUUUGCUUGACUAGCUGAGAGGAGGUGCAUGGCC
rnacentral:rRNA from 1 species